CGGGGGUGGCCGAGCCUGGCCGAAGGCGCAGGAAGGUGCUAACCCUGUGGGCGUAGGCCCAUCGUGGGUUCGAAUCCCACCCCCCG
rnacentral:tRNA from 1 species